rnacentral:rRNA from 1 species
CACGUAGGGCGCAAGCGUUGUCCGGAAUUAUUGGGCGUAAAGAGCUCGUAGGCGGUCUGUUGCGUCCGCUGUGAAAUCUCGGGGCUUAACCCCGAGCCUGCAGUGGAUACGGGCAGACUAGAGGUAGGUAGGGGAGAAUGGAAUUCCCGGUGUAGAGGUGAAAUUCGUAGAUAUCGGGAGGAACACCAGUGGCGAAGGCGGCGACCUGGGCCAAUAUUGACGCUGAGGUGCGAAAGCGUGGGGAGCAAACAGG